rnacentral:rRNA from 1 species
GGAAGUGUUGUUAAGGAACUCGGCAAAAUGACUCCGUAACUUCGGGAGAAGGAGUGCUGCGCAAGCAGCCGCAGAGAAAUGGCCCAAGCAACUGUUUAGCAAAAACACAGGUCUAUGCGAAACCGAAAGGUGAGGUAUAUGGGCUGACGCCUGCCCGGUGCUGGAAGGUUAAGGGGAGAGCUUAGCGCGAGCGAAGGUUUGAACUUAAGCCCCAGUAAACGGCGGCCGUAACUAUAACGGUCCUAAGGUAGCGAAAUUCCUUGUCGGGUAAGUUCCGACCCGCACGAAAGGCGUAAUGAUUUGGGCACUGUCUCAACAACACACCCGGUGAAAUUGAAAUACCAGUGAAGAUGCUGGUUACCCGCGCCAGGACGGAAAGACCCCAUGGAGCUUUACUCCAGCCUGAUACUGGGAUUCGGUAUUGCAUGUACAGGAUAGGUGGGAGGCUGAGAACUCAUGGCGCCAGCCGUGAGGGAGCCGGUGUUGGGAUACCACCCCUGCAGUACUGGGUUUCUAACCUGCGCCCGUGACCCGGGCGGGGGACAAUGUCAGGCGGGGAGUUUGACUGGGGCGGUCGCCUCCGAAAGGGUAUCGGAGGCGCUCAAAGGUCUCCUCAGGAUGGUUGGAAACCAUCCAGAGAGUGCAAAGGCAGAAGGAGGCUUGACUGCGACACCGACGGGUGGAGCAGGUACGAAAGUAGGACUUAGUGAUCCGGUGGCAUAAAGUGGGAUUGCCAUCGCUCAACGGAUAAAAGCUACCCUGGGAUAACAGGCUUAUCACUCCCAAGAGUUCACAUCGACGGAGUGGUUUGGCACCUCGAUGUCGGCUCAUCGCAUCCUGGAGCUGGAGCAGGUUCCAAGGGUUGGGCUGUUCGCCCAUUAAAGCGGUACGCGAGCUGGGUUCAGAACGUCGUGAGACAGUUCGGUCCCUAUCCGGCGCGGGCGCAGGAUAUCUGAGAGGAGCUGUCCUUAGUACGAGAGGACCGGGAUGGACCGUCCGCUGGUGGACCGGUUGUCAUGCCAAUGGCACGGCCGGGUAGCCAAGACGGGAAGGGAUAAACGCUGAAGGCAUCUAAGCGUGAAGCCCCCCUCAAGAUGAGAUAUCCAUACUCGAAAGAGUGAGAGACCCCUUAGAGACGAUGAGGUAGAUAGGGCAGAGAUGGAAGUGCAGCGAUGCAUGGAGUUGACUGUUACUAAUCGGUCGAAAGC